CACAGGAUUCCUGCCUGACGCAAGCUCCUAGCACGGCUGAAGUCAAGUGAUGGCACCGUGGCGCUUCAGCUGAUUCUACCAGCAGACACUGAAAGAGCUCUGAUAGUUUGGUUUCCCAGAGACUAUGGGUUGAGGAGGAAUUGGAAGUUUGUCGGCUUAGACCUGGUGUCAUUCCAUCAGUGUUAAACUUCCUGGCUCAUCUUGGAAGAGUACGUGCCAGAAAGACCACGACCAAGCAGCCUUGAGAUCUUAGGCAGCGUCUCCCUGAGACCAAAGAACUACAGACUCUUCACAACCUGCUCAAACUCUUGGUACAGGACCUCACCACACGGGUCAAGAAGCCUUGGUCUGGAUCAUUGGGAACAUCUGCUCUGAUGGACUGAGAACUACAGUGAACAUGGACAUCCAGCUGUGGUUGUCUUAAGUCUUUUCUCCUUCAUCAUUGUGAGGAAGAGCAGCACUGAUGUCCUCCUCAUCCUUCCAGUAAUAACAAUAAUUCUGCAGAUUCAGCACCUCUUCAUAAUACAACUUGUGACUUCAGUAUUUACACUUCACUGUCAGCAACACGUUGUUUAUUUCAUCCAUUUAUUUCAUGUGUUUACACAUCUUUACAGUUCAC
ensembl:lncRNA